GCAACUUUAUAAAUAUUUUAUAACAAAUAUUUGGACAAAAUAUUUUACAGGUCUGAACGUAGCUUAAGUUGCAAGUAAGAAAUCCUACUAGGACAAUCGGGUGACAUUGAUUUGUGUGGACCGUUGCAAUUAAAUCAGAUGUACGUAAACUUACUUCCCACGAUAACUUCAUCCUUGGUGGUGAUUUCAAUAGUAGGCACAGAAAUUGGGGAUGUCUGAGAAAUAACUGCUGGGGAGACAACCUUCCACGCUGGACUUUUUCAUAAAUAUGUCACAAAAUUUUUCAGCAGUAAGGACACUCAAUGACCUAUCGUCAGACCACCUUCCAAUUAUUUCUAACGUUAGCUUGAUAGUAAAUAGAAUUGUAAAAAGUUAUCCAGAGUUUCGCAAAGCAAGUUGGAAAUCGGUUACGAAUUAUAUAAACAGAAAUCUUUCCACAACUGUGAAUAUAAAUGACGUAUCGCACGAAUACCAAAUUGAUAAUAUGAUAACAAAUUUUAAUAAAGUCAUUUAUGACUCUAUUGAAGCUUGUGUCCUAAAAAAAACAACCAAUAAAAACGGAUACCACUAUACCAGAUAACAUAAGGAUUCUGAUCCAACAUCGUAAUAUCUACAGGAGAAAUUGGAAACGUUUCAGGGAUAUCAACGACCAUAACCGAAUGACUUAAAUAAAAAAAUUAGAGUGGAACUAAAUAAAUUACGAAAUCUAUCAUGGAACAAUAUGUUAUAUACUCUAGACAAAUCCUCACGCCCAUUCUUGAAAAUUUCCAAAAUUCUUAAGAAGAAAACAAAAAACAUUCCUAUCCUAAAACACAAUGGCGUAGUUUACUAUACCCAGCAGGAAAAAUGUGACUUACUCGCUCAACAAUUUAGUUCAAAUCAUAACAUGUCAUCACAUCUUAGCGAUGCUACAACGAUUGCAUACGUGAACAACACAGUAAACGUUAUAAGAAAUACUAUUGUUGCACCUAACACAGACUAUUUUAUUACCACAUCUAAAACUGUCGAUCUUAUAAAACGUUUAAAAAAUAAAAAAUCUCCUGGUAUUAACAACAUAUGUUUAAAAAAAACUUCCCAAAAAAGGUAUAAAAUUCCUUACGCUUAUUUUUAAUUGUUGUCUUAAAUUAUGUUAUUUUCCCCAAAUUUGGAAAAACGCCAAAACCAUACCAAUUGGUAAACCAAAUAAACCUGCAGAUUCACCAUUAUCUUAUAGACCAAUCAGCCUACUUUCAGCUAUAAGCAAAUUACUUGAGAAAAUAUUGAAAGAAAAAUUAACCACAUUUAUAGAAGAUAAAAAUAUACUACCUCCACAACAAUUUGGAUUUAGAAAUGAAUACAACACUUCACAACCUUUACUGAAAAUUAGAAAGUUUGUUAAAAAACAAUUUUAAAAAUGAAAAAUCGACUGGAAUGGUUUUAUUGGAUAUUAAAUCGGCACAACGGCCUUAUUUUCAAAUUAAACCAAUAUAAAUUUCCAAUCGAAAUUGUUAAAAUUAUUCAAAAUUUUUUAUAUAAUAGGUCAUUUUCCGUUUUUAUGGGUUCAACUUCCUCCCAACUUAUUAACAUCUCAUCUGGAUGUCCACAAGGCCUCCCCUAUUCUUUACAACAUAUUUACUGCAGAUAUUCCAAGUGUACCGAACUGUAUUACGUCCAUAUUUGCAGAUGAUACAUCGAUAUUCACCGCAGACUUUAUAUCAGUUGAUAUAAUAUCCACUUUAGAAAAUGCCCUAGCAUCUUUUAAUACAUAUUUUAAAAAAUGGAAAAUCCUUGUAAAUCCUGACAAAACACAGUCUAUUUAUUUUUCUAGGAAACGUAAACCCUGUUUCCUACCUCAAAGACCAUUGCGAUUCUUAAAUGAAAAUAUUGACUGGAUAAAAAACUAACCUUCAAUGAUCACAUAUCAUUUACUAUAAACAAAAUACAUAAAAUCAUAAAUAUUCUAUAUCCCCUAAUAAAUAGGAACUCAAAAUUAAACUUAGAAAACAAAAAACUUAUAAUAAAAGUAAUUUUCUAUCCUGUAAUGUUUUACGCCGCCGCUGUAUGGUCGACUACUGCUAAUGUUCAUAUUAGUAAACUACAAGUAACUCAAAACAAGUUACUUAAAAUGUUGUACAAGCUACCCUGGCACUAUUCCACCCGACGACUACACAGCCUAUCUGGCUUUGAUCUUGUUUAUGAGAAGAUAAAUAAAAUAACCACAAAUUUUAACAGAAAAUGCGAAUUGUCUACGUAUUGUCACAUUAAUGAACUGGUUUCAGCAUAAUUUUAUUCCGCUAACAUAAUUAUUCCUAAGCUUUUCAUAAAGGUUUUUUUAAUUUUUCCUUUCCAUCAAUAUUAAUUAAAACACUUAUGUUAUAAAUAUUUUUCCUAAUUAACAAAGUAGAAAAGGAUUUUAAAUUUUCCUAAACUCUUUAGAAAUUAAGACUACUGUAAAGCAAACAAUUUAUAAUACCAUAAUAAAAUAAUAAAUAAAUUACGAUUUUUGACAACA